ACAGAGAUACAGAUAUAAAUAUUUGGUGUGUACUACUUUGCCAUCAAUUUAAGUAACAAAACCCCAUUUUUUUAAGUAAACAAAUCCCUCAAUUUCUCUCUCUUUCUCUCUCAGUUUCAGAGCUCAAUAUCUUUCUCUCACCUUCUAAUUCUCUCUCUCUCUCUCACAUUUUGAUGCUUCUUGGUUUUCGCUUAUGGAAUAAGUGGAAAAACUGAAUGAGAUUUGGUGCAAAAAAAUGCGAGUGAAGGAAAUGCACCCGCUGUGUUGUAUUUCGCUGGAGAGUCCUGGAGGUAGUAUUAGGGAUCAAUCGCCGGAGCCGCCAUUGUCGGCGUCGCUAUUGAGAGCGAGGAGUUUGCCGGCUACGGCGACGGCCGGCGGAUCUGACCGCAUUGCGGGACGAUCGGAGGCCACGGUGGCCGGAGUCCUCUACAAGUGGACCAAUUACGGCAAAGGAUGGAGAUCCAGGUGGUUCCUUUUGCGCAACGGCGUUCUUUCCUAUACGAAAAUCCGGCGGACGGAGAAUCUCAACCUCCUUAUGUCUCCGACCUCCGACGACAUCACGCUGAUCGGAGAAAUCUCCGCCAAUCGGCUCACGAGAUUGGACAGUAGUGGCAGACGAAAGCACCACCAGAAAACCGUUGGCAUUGUCCAUCUCAAGAUCUCAUCUUUUCGGGAGAGCAAAUCUGAUGAUCGAAAGUUCUACAUAUUUACAGCCACAAAGACCCUUCAUCUGAGAACUGAUUCGAAGAGCGAUCGGGUGGCUUGGAUUCAAGCUUUGGUCUCAACUCGGAGCCUAUUUUUACUUAGACCAAUCAAUGACAAUCUCUCCCUUGUGCCAAAUGAUAUAUCUAUAUCAACCGAAAGGCUUAAAAAACGCUUGCUUGAAGAGGGAAUAAACGAGAACCUUGUAAAUGAUUGUGAGCAGAUUAUGCGUUCAGAAUUCUCAGAAAUAAAAGGACAAGUUCAAGUUCUUUGUGAACAGCGAUCCAAUUUGCUUGACACGUUAAGGCAGUUAGAGGCAGCUAAUAUUGAAGCUGAGGCCUCUGGGAUUCAUGAUGGUCAAUACCAACUGACCAAACAUGAAUUUUCGAGUCUAGGGCGUGGAAAAUACAGUGAAUGCAGCACGACUGAAUCGUCUGAUGAUAUUGAGAAACAAGAGCUUGAGGAAGUGUCAGAUGAAGAUGAAAUGUCCUUUCAUGACUCAAAAGAGUAUUUUACUGAACCCGACGUUAGCUGUGGGUCUAUAAAAGAAGUUUCCAAUCACCUUGAUAAUUAUGGAGAAGCUGAAAGCCAAUGUGAUGUGGCGAAAGUUCAGAACAAUAGGGAAGUUCGAAAUUCUAGAUAUCCACACAUUGAAAGGCGGAAAAAGCUUCCGGAUCCUGUUGAGAAGGAGAAGGGGGUCAGUCUUUGGUCUAUGAUCAAGGACAAUGUGGGAAAAGACCUCACACGUGUUUGCCUCCCUGUUUACUUUAAUGAGCCAAUAUCAUCUCUUCAAAAAUGUUGUGAGGACUUAGAAUACUCUUUUCUUUUGGAUAAAGCAUAUGAGUACGGGAAAGCGGGGAACAGUCUUCAGAGGAUUCUGAAUGUUGCUGCUUUUGCGGUUUCUGGAUAUGCUUCCUCUGAAGGUCGAAAUUGUAAACCAUUCAAUCCUUUGUUGGGGGAAACUUAUGAAGCUGACUAUCCUGAGAAAGGAAUUCGCUUCUUCUCUGAGAAGGUCAGUCACCACCCAACACUCAUUGCCUGCCACUGUGAAGGAAGAGGGUGGAAAUUCUGGUGUGACAGCAACCUCCGCACAAAAUUUUGGGGGCGGUCAAUUCAGCUUGACCCUGUUGGAGUUCUGACCUUAGAGUUUGAUGAUGGUGAAAUUUUCCAGUGGAGCAAGGUCACUACAACUAUUUAUAAUCUUAUCCUCGGUAAAGUUUAUUGUGGUCACCAUGGGACAAUGCACAUACAUGGUAAUCGCGAAUAUUCAUGCAAACUCAAGUUUAAAGAACAGUCUAUUCUUGACCGAAAUCCUCGCCAGGUAAAUGGAUUUGUUGAAGAUGUUAUGGGAAAAAAGGUUGCCACAUUAUUUGGGAAGUGGGAUGAUAGCAUGUAUUAUGUUAAUAAUGAUGGGAGUGGCAAGCCCAAGGAUUGUACUUCCUCUUCUGAUGCAUCCUUGCUAUGGAAAAGGAGUAAGCCGCCUCCUAAUCUCACUCGGUACAACUUAACUUCGUUUGCAAUCACACUAAAUGAGCUGACACCAGGACUGCAGUUGUGUCUGAUCCCGGGUAUUUGAUCACGGAUUAAGGAGAAGCUCCCACCCACGGACUCGAGGCUUCGACCAGAUCAACGACAUUUGGAAAAUGGCGAAUAUGAGAAGGCAAAUGCGGAGAAACAGCGCUUGGAAAAGAGGCAAAGAAUGGCAAGGAAAAUGCAAGAAAAUGGGUGGAAGCCCAGAUGGUUCCAGAAAGAAGAAGGUGAUAAUGGACCCUUCCGCUAUGUUGGUGGAUAUUGGGAAGCUCGGCAGCAGGGCAAAUGGGAUGAAUGUCCAAAUAUAUUUGGUGAAUUCAAUGAAGACCUUGUUGAUCCCUUAGAAGUGUCAUGAUCUUAGUUCAGCUCAACCACAACUCAAAAGGCCUUUAUCAAAAGAAAAAGAUCUGUCAUCCAGUGAUCAUAUUCAUUCAUCACUUAAUCAAAAUUGCAUUUUAUCACAUGGCAAAGUUCAAUUGUAAAGCAAGCUACGGGCAUAAUUACCUAUGCCCCUCUACUGCUUAGGUCUAGUACAACAUGUCACUGAAUGUGUUCAUUACUCAUUAGAAUUGCCAUGAAAAGUUGUUAGAUUGAUUGUUUUGCUGAUAAUGCAGGAUAGGUAGAAAACCUUUACAACUGUUAGAGAGUAAGCUGGGCAAGAAAUGACCUGGUUGUCCAUGUUUUUUGGCCGUAUGUACCAGAAUUUUAGUCUAAAGUUGGCAAAAUUGAUCCCCACAUGCAUUCGAGUGAAGAAAUCAUCUUUCAAGCACGUGGCAAUGGUUAGGUCAGAAGUCUAGUGUAUCUUUUUAACAUUGUCCAUGUCUGCAGUGGGGGUUAGCUUGUGUAAUGUAAUCUCUCUCUCUCUCUCUCGUUUUAAACUGUGCUAGCCCUUGGCUGAGCAUUUAUUUCAUAUUUAUUUGUACUUUCUUUAUUUGAAAUAAUAAAAGAAACAAAGAUUUUUUUUU